GACGGACCGUACGAACGUUAUUCGGAAUUACUGGGCUUAAAGGGUGCGUAGGCGGCUCAGAAAGUUGAAUGUGAAAGCCCUCGGCUUAACCGAGGAAUUGCAUCCAAAACUACUGGGCUUGAGUGAGACAGAGGUGAGCGGAACUCACGGUGGGAGCGGUGGAAAUGCGUUGAUAUCGUGAGGAACACCGGUGCGAAGGCGGCAUCCUGGACCAAUAUUGACGCUGAGGAGCGAAAGC
rnacentral:rRNA from 1 species